AUGAACGCUGGCGGCGUGCUUAACACAUGCAAGUCGAACGGAAAGGCCCAAGCUUGCUUGGGUACUCGAGUGGCGAACGGGUGAGUAACACGUGGGUGAUCUGCCCUGCACUUCGGGAUAAGCCUGGGAAACUGGGUCUAAUACCGGAUAGGACCACAUUUUGGCUGGUGUGGUGGAAAGUUUUUCGGUGUGGGAUGAGCUCGCGGCCUAUCAGCUUGUUGGUGGGGUAAUGGCCUACCAAGGCGUCGACGGGUAGCCGGCCUGAGAGGGUGUACGGCCACAUGGGGGAUGGGAACCGCCCCAGCCGCUUCGGGGGGGAGGAGGGGGGAAUAUUUCAGAAUGGGCGGAAGCCUUAUGGCACGACCCCGGGGUGGGGGAGAACGGCCUUCGGGUUUAAACCCCGUUCGGCAAGGACGAAGCGCAAGUGACGGUACCUGGAGAAGAAGCACCGGCUAACUACGUG
rnacentral:rRNA from 1 species